UCACUAGAUGAGUUGGGACUUUUCAACUACUGGAAGUCUCUGAAGGAUAAGUCUGAAGGUUUGAUGUUCACAGAACCUCUUCAGCAAUUUCAAAGUAUUACUCUGGAGUUAACAAUUGGAGAGGAUGGCUCUUGCACACCUAUUGUGCAACAAAAUGCUGUAGAAGAUGAAAUAAACGAUCCACAACCUGUUCAACCCAAUGACGACAUGAGCCAAGAUGAAGAAGCUGCAUCAAAUGAUCCGUUUGAAGGAAUUUUCAUUUGGCCAAAGGUCAACGAGCGAAAUGGAAAUGACAAACAGAGGAGAAAGGAACAUGUACCAUCAGUCGCAACCAGCAAUAGAUGGCGAAAA